CAAUAGCGUAUAUUAAAGUUGUUGCAGUUAAAAAGCUCGUAGUCGGAUUUCUGGUAGGAGCGACCGUGCCGAACUUGAUUGUUCGAGUAUUGUGUUGUCUUCAGCCAUCCUCGUGGAGAACUUUUCUAACAUUAACUUGUUGGGAUUGGGACCCGCGUCGUUUACUGUGAAAAAAUUAGAGUGUUUAAAGCAGGCAUUAGCUUGAAUACAUUAGCAUGGAAUAAUAAGAUAGGACUUUGGUACUAUUUUGUUGGUUUGCAUACCAAAUUAAUGAUCAACAGGAACAGUUUGAGGAUAUUCGUAUGAACAUGUCAGAGGUGAAAUUCUUGGAUUUUGAUCAGACGAACUACUGCGAAAGCAUUUAUCAAGGAUGUUUUCAUUAA
rnacentral:rRNA from 1 species